rnacentral:lncRNA from 1 species
AAGAAAUCUGAGUGGACAUUGUCACACCAAAAUCAAGAUUCCUUCUUAUUGGGAAAUGGCUUCUGUUUAUGCAAGUACUGCUCGUGGGUGAGGAAGGUCAGUAGGAUGGCCGCUUCAUUGUCUGUAAUUCAUAGAGCGACAAUAUUAGAUGUGGAUGGCAUCUUACAUACAUACAUUUUAUACUAUUAGUCGUUAUAAAUUAUAUGGAUGGCAACAAAACUUUUUGUGUUGGGACAUAAAACCGAAAUAUAACACUCCUUCUUGGUAAGUAGCAUGGACGAUCUCAACCAAUAAUUACAAUGAUUAUUUUACGAUUUUGAUUAUUUUUUCCUUCAUCAUUGCCGUUGUUUAUAAAAGUUCUAAUACUGUUUUGCUAUAUAUAUAUAUAUAUUACCAAGACUGAAGGAAAUUACUAAUUGUAACUUGGUUAUAUCAGUCAUCACUCUACGGUGUGAUUGGAGGACUAGUUGUCACUGCUGUCUGAUUCCAGUUUAUAUCAGGAUACAUGGAUUACCAUGAUUCUAGUAUAUAUCAAGAUACGUGGAUAACCAAUAUGACAAUUAGUCCCCAUACCAGCUUAAUUAUAACUUCAGCAAUACAAUUCUUAUAUGAAAGCACUGGCUUACUCAAAAGUCAAAACCCAUAAAAACUUCUCAACAAGUUGGCCAAUUGCUCUAAAGCAAUUGUGAAAUGGAUGUGAAUUAUGGUUGUAAAUAUAUUUGUUUUUGGUUAUAUAUAUAUAUAUAUAUAUAUAUAUCAUAUGCAAUUCUUAUAUGAAAGAAUUGACUUGCUCAAAGCUAACAAAUGCUAUUAUAGUUAUUAUGUUCAUCAUCACCUUCAUUUUUUUCCCUUGUACAUGCAAUUCAUAAUCAUGAGUUUAACCUUUUGAUGAUUGUGGAUCAUUCACAUUAUGAUAAAUAUUCCUAAUGAAGAAAAUUGGAACCAUAAGAGACCAUUUAUUUAUUUAUUUGUGAAAAAAUAAAUCAUUGUUGUUACAAGUCUCAAUAAAAGAGGAGUUAAGGAGUAGUAGUAUAAAGGAUGCCAAUUCACAAAAACAUGCAUAGAGUCAAAAAAGUACAAAAGUAAGAAAGAGAUUGUUAUAGGGGUAAAAGAAGGCUGAAUUCAAAAAGAAAGGAUGCCAAUUCACAAAAACAUGCAUAGUGUAUGGUGUGCCUGAAUAGUGGCCACUGGCCACCAAUUUAGGCUCCACUACAAAAAUGUCAUGGACGUGGCAUCUUUGAAAAAUCCAAUUCUUCCCCCUUCCCUCCUCCUUCUUACUUAACCUCUCGUUUUCUAUAUGUCAGGAAAGUGAUCCCUUUUAUCUUCCGCUUCAAACACCGAAUAUCACAAUCCCCAAAGCAAAAGUCACCCUUAGAUUAGAGAGGAUAACAUAAUGUGGGAAAAAAGUGUUACUGCAAUAAUGGUUGCAACAGAGUUCUUAGAGGUGGGCUUAAACACUGUAAAUAAAGCUGCCAUGAACAAAGGACUCAGUGAUUUCGUGCUAGUAUUUUACUCGAACGUUCUUGGCAUCUUUAUGCUUGCCCCAUGUAUUAUCAUCUUCUACAGGUAAUAAAUAAAUUCCAUAUAUAUAUAUAUAUAUAUUAUAUACUGUUUUCAGCUUCUUGGGUAGCAAAGGGAAUUGAAAUUUGAACCAAGUUAUUUAUGAAUUGAUGACAGAAAAAGAAGCCCACCAGUGCUUACAUGGUCUACCAUCUGCAAAAUUUUCCUUCUAGGCGUUCUCAGGUACGUUUUCCGUGGACUUUGAAAUAGAGAUAAAAGAAAGGUGGAGAUGGGGGGAUGAUGACAAAUUGCUAAGCAACAUGGGUUUCAGUUAUGGAGGACAGAUAUGCACAUACAUUGGAAUAGGAUAUGGAUCUCCAACUCUGGCAUCCGCCAUGGCUGAUCUUACUCCAGCCUUCACUUUCAUCUUCUCCAUCAUCUCUCGG